rnacentral:rRNA from 1 species
CCUACGGGUGGCAGCAGUGGGGAAUAUUGGGCAAUGGGCGCAAGCCUGACCCAGCAACGCCGCGUGAAGGAAGAAGGCUUUCGGGUUGUAAACUUCUUUUCUCAGGGACGAAGAAAGUGACGGUACCUGAGGAAUAAGCCACGGCUAACUACGUGCCAGCAGCCGCGGUAAUACGGAGGUGGCAGGCGUUAGACGGCUUUGUUGGGUGUAAAGGGCGUGUCGGCGGGUGCGCAAGUCAGAUGUGAAAAGUCAGGGCUCAACCCUGAGCCUGCAUUUGAAACUGUGUUGCUUGAGUGCUGGAGAGGCAAGCGGAAUUCGGUGUGUAGCGGUGAAAUGCGUAGAUAUACGGAGGAACACCAGUGGCGAAGGCGGAUUGCUGGACAGUAACUGACGCUGAGGCGCGAAAGCGUGGGGAGCAAACAGGAUUAGAUACCCGAGUAGUC